rnacentral:rRNA from 1 species
ACGCACGCUGGCGGCGUGCUUAACACAUGCAAGUCGAACGGAAAGGCCCUGCUUGCAGGGUACUCGAGUGGCGAACGGGUGAGUAACACGUGGGUGAUCUGCCCUGGACUUCGGGAUAAGCCUGGGAAACUGGGUCUAAUACCGGAUAGGAGCCAUUUUUAGUGUGAUGGUUGGAAAGUUUUUUCGGUGUAGGAUGAGCUCGCGGCCUAUCAGCUUGUUGGUGGGGUAAUGGCCUACCAAGGCGGCGACGGGUAGCCGGCCUGAGAGGGUGGACGGCCACAUUGGGACUGAGAUACGGCCCAGACUCCUACGGGAGGCAGCAGUGGGGAAUAUUGCACAAUGGGCGCAAGCCUGAUGCAGCGACGCCGCGUGGGGGAUGACGGCCUUCGGGUUGUAAACUCCUUUCGCUAGGGACGAAGCUUUUUGUGACGGUACCUAGAUAAGAAGCACCGGCUAACUACGUG